ensembl:lncRNA
CUGAUUUUGUCUCGUUCUGCCUUAUUCUGUCUGUUCUGUGAGCGCUCAGCCAGGUCUGUUCUGUGAGCGCUCAGCCAGGUCUGUUCUGUGAGCGCUCAGCCAGGUUGUUUGGAAUUUGGGCGGGACGAAGAAGGAGCUGACGAGCUCGGACUUCUCGCCCCGCAGCCCUGGAAGACAUUCCAAGGGUGUUAGGGGCCCGACUUUUCGGGGCCCAAUCUGGGAGAGGAGAAAGAUCCAGACUAACGGCACCUCUGUCUGUAGUUUUGGCUUUCAGAGGGCCCCGGACCUUUGCCACCUCCAUCUGACUUUUUGCUUUCAGUUUGGUACCAAAGCCGUGCAGCACGCCUGUCUGUUGUUUGUUUGACUGUUGGUGUUGUUUGUUUUCUCUGUGUUCUAAUCUUCCUUAGAACUAACAUGGGACAGUCCCUAACAACGCCCCUAAGUCUCAUUCUUGAUCAUUAGAAAGACGUCCACGACCGGGCACACAACCAGUCCGUCGAGGUUAAAAAAAAAAAAAGGAAAAUGGCAGACUCUCUGCACAUCCGAGUGGCCCACUUUCGGAGCGGGAUGGCCAGUGAAUGACACAUUUAAUAAGAUCAUUAUUUUACAGGUUAAAGAUUGGGUCGUCCACGGACAUCCUGACCAGGUUUCUUAUAUUAUCACUUGAGAGAGUCUCGCCUUACCCCCCCCCCCCGG